GAUGAUUUUUCAAAGAUUUAGUAAAAAUAAAUAAAAAAAGAAAAAGACAAAACCAUCCUCCAAACCACUCGAGAGGGUUUUUUGACCGGUUUUGAAAGUUCAGGAGGUAGAAUAUCCGGUUUAAUAGUUUGGAGGUUUAAGUAGUCUACCCUAAAUAGUUUGGAGGUUAUGUAGACUUUUUUCUCUAGAGAAAAAUGACCCCCGUAUCUGAGCUCUGCGUGCGAUUCGUCUCGACACCUGACCUACCGGAGGGGGGGGUAAUUAAGGGGCAGUGUAAGCAUAGCGACAUGCAUUUACGCAGUCGCAGCCC
rnacentral:lncRNA from 1 species